CCCGUACUUGGUGUUACUGCGAAGGGGGGACGGAGAAGGCUAUGUUGGCCGGGCGACGGUUGUCCCGGUUUAAGCGUGUAGGUGUGUGUUCCAGGUAAAUCCGGUUCACUUUAACACUGAGGCGUGAUGACGAGGCACUACGGUGCUGAAGCAACAAAUGCCCUGCUUCCAGGAAAAGCCUCUAAGCAUCAGGUAACAUCAAAUCGUACCCCAAACCGACACAGGUGGUCAGGUAGAGAAUAC
rnacentral:rRNA from 10 species